CCUACGGGAGGCAGCAGUGAGGAAUAUUGGUCAAUGGACGAGAGUCUGAACCAGCCAAGUCGCGUGCAGGAUGACUGCCCUAUGGGUUGUAAACUUCUUUUGUACAGGAGUAAAACGAGGCACGUGUGCCUUUUUGCAUGUACUUUAUGAAUAAGGAUCGGCUAACUCCGUGCCAGCAGCCGCGGUAAUACGGAGGAUCCGAGCGUUAUCCGGAUUUAUUGGGUUUAAAGGGAGCGUAGACGGGUUGUUAAGUCAGUUGUGAAAGUUUGCGGCUCAACCGUAAAAUUGCAAUUGAUACUGGUAGUCUUGAGUACAGUUGAGGUAGGCGGAAUUCGUGGUGUAGCGGUGAAAUGCUUAGAUAUCACGAAGAACCCCGAUUGCGAAGGCAGCUUACUAAACUGUGACUGACAUUGAUGCUCGAAAGUGUGGGUAUCAAACAGGAUUAGAUACCCUGGUAGUC
rnacentral:rRNA from 1 species